rnacentral:rRNA from 1 species
UACGUAGGGGGCAAGCGUUGUCCGGAAUCAUUGGGCGUAAAGAGCGUGUAGGCGGCCAGAAAAGUCCGCUGUGAAAACUCGAGGCUCAACUUCGAGCUGUCGGUGGAAACUUUCUGGCUAGAGUCCGGAAGAGGAGAAUGGAAUUCCCGGUGUAGCGGUGAAAUGCGCAGAUAUCGGGAAGAACACCCGUGGCGAAGGCGGCUCUCUGGGACGGUACUGACGCUGAGACGCGAAAGCGUGGGGAGCGAACAGG